rnacentral:rRNA from 1 species
UACGUAGGGUGCGAGCGUUAAUCGGAAUUACUGGGCGUAAAGCGUGCGCAGGCGGUUUUGUAAGCCAGAUGUGAAAUCCCCGGGCUUAACCUGGGAAUGGCAUUUGGGACUGCAAGGCUCGAGUGCGGCAGAGGGGGGUGGAAUUCCGCGUGUAGCAGUGAAAUGCGUAGAGAUGCGGAGGAACACCGAUGGCGAAGGCAGCCCCCUGGGUUAACACUGACGCUCAGGCACGAAAGCGUGGGGAGCAAACAGG